rnacentral:rRNA from 1 species
CGGACGGGUGAGCAAUGUCUGGGAAACUGCCUGAUGGAGGGGGAUAACUACUGGAAACGGUAGCUAAUACCGCAUAACGUCGCAAGACCAAAGAGGGGGACCUUAGGGCCUCUUGCCAUCGGAUGUGCCCAGAUGGGAUUAGCUAGUAGGUGGGGUAAAGGCUCACCUAGGCGACGAUCCCUAGCUGGUCUGAGAGGAUGACCAGCCACACUGGAACUGAGACACGGUCCAG